GAUGAAGAACGCAGCAAAAUGCGAUAAGUAAUGUGAAUUGCAGAAUUCAGUGAAUCAUCGAAUCUUUGAACGCACAUUGCGCCCGCCAGUAUUCUGGCGGGCAUGCCUGUUCGAGCGUCAUUUGAACCCUCAAGCACAGCUUGGUGUUGGGACUCGCGUUAAUUCGCGUUCCCCAAAUUGAUUGGCGGUCACGUCGAGCUUCCAUAGCGUAGUAGUAAAACCCUCGUUACUGGUAAUCGUCGCGGCCACGCCGUUAAACCCCAACUUCUGAAUGUUGACCUCGGAUCAGGUAGGAAUACCCGCUGAACUUAAGCAUAUCAAUAAGCGGAGGA
rnacentral:misc_RNA from 1 species